GUUGAAUUAUGUCACUCCUUAAAGAAUCAUGAUAUGAAGAGAGACAUAAAAGGACCUCUGAAUCAUCUGCAACCGGUAGCGAUUAUUUGCACACAGUAGCAUUGUUGGAGAAAUUUAGAACCGUUCAGCUCAUCUUUUAGUAAUAAGGGUAGACAUUGAAACAAAAGGGGAGUUCAUCAAUGACCUUAUAAAAAAGGCGGUAGAUGCAGCCUACAUGGACAUUGAAGAAGUCUUAAAGU